AAGUUUAUUUCUUUAUUUAUUUACUGCUACACUAUAUAUUGUUGAUAUGAUUUCUUAUAGAAGGAAUAGUACAGACAAAUGAUUUAAUUUGUCAUCGUCGAUAUCAGAAUACUGGAUAGCAUAGGCUACUCGUGUUCUUGCUUUUUCAGGUGGAGAGGCAUAUUAGAGCUCAGUGAGAGCCCAUAACAUUAUACAGCAGUGUUGUCUUGAUUUAAUUGGGAUUUGAGCAACUUUUCCACAAACAAAAUUCUGAUGCUGACACAGAGGAUGGAGUGAUAAUACCAGAGAUCAGCUGUCUCCAUCAGACAAUAAUGUUACUUUGUUCAGACAUAUCACCUUUCAAUGACUGGGAUCCUUAUCUUCAGACACCUGUUGUAUUUUAUUUUAAUAUUAUAAAAUAGCAAAUAUUUUAAUUUCUUUGGAGCUCUAGAUUAAAACAAACACAGUUCACAAGAGGUUGCAGUUUAUUCUUAUUAGUCUCUGCUGAUCAUGGAUUAGCAUACCAACAGCAUAUGAAUGGAAUAGUUCAUCCAAAAAUAAAAUUCUCACUUAUUUUACUCACC